rnacentral:rRNA from 1 species
GACGUAGGGUGCGAGCGUUGUCCGGAUUUAUUGGGCGUAAAGAGCGUGUAGGCGGCUUUACAGGUCCGUUGUGAAAACUCGAGGCUCAACCUCGAGACGCCGGUGGAAACCGUAAAGCUAGAGUCCGGAAGAGGAGAGUGGAAUUCCUGGUGUAGCGGUGAAAUGCGCAGAUAUCAGGAAGAACACCCGUGGCGAAGGCAGCUCGCUGGGACGGUACUGACGCUGAGACGCGAAAGCGUGGGGAGCAAACAGG